rnacentral:rRNA from 1 species
CACGUAGGGGGCGAGCGUUGUUCGGAAUCAUUGGGCGUAAAGGGCGCGCAGGCGGCGUUUAAAGUCUGGCGUGGAAGUCCCCGGCUCAACCGGGGGACGGCGUUGGAAACUGGGACGCUUGAGUAAGGCAGGGGAUGGCGGAAUUCCAGGUGUAGGGGUGAAAUCUGUAGAUAUCUGGAGGAACACCGACGGCGAAGGCAGCCAUCUGGUCCAUUACUGACGCUGAGGCGCGAAGGUGCGGGGAGCAAACAGGUUUAGAUACCCUGGUAGUCCGCACAGUAAACGAUGUGCACCAGGUGUUGGUCAUAAACUGAUCAGUACCGCAGCAAACGCGAUAAGUGCACCGCCUGGGGAGUAUGCCCGCAAGGGUGAAACUCAAAGGAAUUGACGGGGGCCUGCACAAGCGGUGGAGCAUGUGGUUUAAUUCGAUGAUACGCGAGGAACCUUACCAGGGCUUGACAUGUGCCGGAAUGGAUGUGAAAGCAUUCAGCUUUUCGGAGCCGGCACACAGGUGCUGCAUGGCU